rnacentral:lncRNA from 1 species
UUUCUCAUUUGCUAAUAAUAUUUGUGUAUAUGAUGCCAAAUGUCUACCUGCUGAAAGCAACAUGGGGCAAUAUGGUGAGUGGAAUUAUGUGAUGCAUGUAGAAAAUAGAAUACGAGCAGACAACAGGUUAUUUGCAUGUAAAAUAAAUCCUAUAAAACUAUUAUUUCUAGGAUUUUAGCACCCUGCCGUACAGAAGCAACAUUCCGUGUAUUUUUUGCUUCCCUUGCUCUAAACAUCGUUACUCCCUUCAAGGCCGAAGCGCGGUCCAUUAAGACCAUGUUUUCCUUUGUUUUAAUAUUUUGUUGUUACUAUUAUUACUAUGUCAUAUGAUCUUUGACAGCAUUUCCCUGUGGACUCACGUAUUCACCAUAUGACAUCAUGUAUUGUUUUCCUUUGCUUAUUUAUAACAUAUGCUUGUCUUUAUUAUUUUCAUGUGUUCGGCCAUCUUAUAGUUUUCCUUUGCUUAUUUAUAAUGUAUGCUUGUUGUAUGUGCUUUCGCUCGCAAUUUAUUAGAGCAUAUGCUUGUUUCUGUAGCGUUUUAUCCAUGUCUAAUUAAAUCUUGAUCCUGUAGUACUUGCUGUUUGAGAAAUAGACAUUGAGGAUCACUUUUACAUAUAUUUUAUAAACCCUGUUGGGAUGCUUUCAGGAGAUACUGAACAUAAUUCCUGACCCGUGACAACAGUUUUUUUGCCUUAACUCCAUCUCAGAGAUCUACCUUCUAUCAACAGGUAUCUAUCAAUCCCUUCUACUUGCAAGACAGAAAUAAUAUAUGUAGUUCAAAUGGUGAAAUCCAUAUAAGUUUUAAGAUUAUGUCCUGUUAAUUGUUCCAUUUGCUAAAGAGAGGAUAACUUAAAACUACUAUGGAGCUGAUGUAAAUUUAGUUGGCCACAAUGGAUCAUAAGUUUAUUCCUUACUACAUAUAUAGGCCAGUUAAUCUUAAUUUAGUGCAAGCUAAUAUACUCUAUAGAUUGGAGUGCUGAUGAGUCACCCAAAAGGUGUUUGCAUUCAUGCAGUAACUUUCAAACUGAUACCUACAUUAUAUUGUAUCUUUUUAUUUUKGAAUGUGUGCACAUGAAUUUUAGAUGGAAAUUUAUCGUCAUGGGCUGGGAAGAUAAUGGAGACUUCUACACAUGUUCCUUCGUUCCUCCAGAGAAAUAAAGAAGAUAUGGAAGCUGGGGCUUCAAUUGUAUCACCCACACUUAGUAUACUCACAUGGAUAUAGUUAUAAGUCAAAUCACAUACACAUAUUGUGCUCAUUUCACAAUGUAAUGUAGGACUAGUUAACUGUUAGUCAUUGUAACAUGUUUGACUGAGAUAAAGCUUCAUUGCACCUUUCAUUCUCCUUAUGUGCUCAUUUUAGUAAUAGUUACUAGGUUCUAGGGCUAGAGUUGUAACUAGAUGAAGCUUCAUUGUAACUAGAUUUGUAGUGGAGUUGAAGGCCGAACUAUUUUAUGUGGUGCAUGUUUGUAAAGUUUCUACAAUGAUGCUUAUUGCUUAAAUGACCGGGACUAUUUAACAUAAUGUUUUUUCGUCGGAAUUAUCUACGAUGCCUAGUGUAUGAAAACUGUGCAAAAAUAAGGCCUAGUCCUAGAUAAAAAUAGUAAUGGGCUGAAAUAUUAAAUAUUGAUCUGAAUUCUUGGGCCUGGCCCAUUUAGGUGUCUGAUUUGGAUUGGGCUAGUAAAAUUGUGACCUUAUUUUUCAGUCAGUGGUGAUCCGCCACAUCAUCAGCUUAGCCACAUGGCUGAUGCCAUGUUAGCUCCUACGUGGUUCAGGUACACAUGUA